rnacentral:rRNA from 1 species
UACGUAGGGGGCGAGCGUUGUCCGGAAUUACUGGGUGUAAAGGGCGCGUAGGCGGGUUGUUAAGUCAGAUGUGAAAUUUCGGAGCUCAACUUCGAACCUGCAUCUGAAACUGGCGAUCUUGAGUGCAGUAGAGGAAAGUGGAAUUCCUAGUGUAGCAGUGAAAUGCGUAGAGAAUUAGGAGGAACACCAGUGGCGAAGGCGACUUCUGGGCUGUAACUGACGCUGAGGCGCGAAAGCGUGGGGAGCAAACAGG